UUCGCCACGCCGCCCUCUCUCCACUUCUCCUCAACCACGCCGCCAUCUCUCCACUUAUCCUCUUCAACCUCCAAAUCCACCCUAAUCAAUCUGAUGGGAUCCCUCCAAUCCACUGGUCGCUGAUGUGCAUCGCAGUCGAUUGGCCUAGUGGGCGGGUUGACGGAGAUUCAGCAGGCGGGCGGGCGAUUGGAGGUCGUGGAGGUUGGGGGACGACGGAGUCGACCGGCCGGAGUGUGCGAUGGGGACAACGGCGUCGAUUCGGCGGGUAGGUCGAAGGAAUCAUCUGCUGCAACGAGCAACUUUGACUUCAACCUACAGGUGGAUUAAGCAGAGCAAGCACAGAAGUACAGCCAUCCUGCCUAGGGUAGCUGCGCCCCAGAAUGCCCAUGCUGAAAAUAAUCUUCCAGUGCAACAAGGUGGUCCUGAACCAAGUUUAUGACUCACCAAGUCCCUAAGAAGAAUGCUCAUGCUCAAAACAGCAAUGCACCAAGCUACAUGGACGCUUUACUAAAGCGGCUCUAUAGUUGGCUAGAGAUGAAAUAACACGUCGCUAGGUAUGAAAUUGGGCGUGUCUAUCGGUUGUUUUUGUUGUAGUGGUGUGGACGUGGCGCCUAUUAUUCCUGAAGGAAGGAAAAUCUUUAGUACGAGGAAUUAAAUAGAGUAUUUAUAGUGGACUGUAUUUGUAGCAAUACAAUAUUGGAGUAUAUCAUAAAAGAGAGUAUUUUCCACAAAAAUAAAAAUAAAAGAGUAUGGCCAUAUAUGCCGCCGGCAAGGAUUAAUUAUAUAGUGAUAUUGUCAUUCUUACUUUGUGUACAUUCAAAGUGGGAGUAUAUAGAAUGGAGUAAUUUUUAAAGAGAGUGAACGCUCAAAGGAGUAUAUAGAAUGGAGUAUUUUUUAUGAAAUUAAUGCA